GGGCCCAUAGCUUAACGGCAAAGCGGCCGGCUCAUAACCGGUUUUAUCCGGGUUCAAAUCCUGGUGGGCCCACCA
rnacentral:tRNA from 1 species